UACGUAGGGUGCGAGCGUUGUCCGGAAUUAUUGGGCGUAAAGAGCUCGUAGGCGGUGUGUCGCGUCGGCCGUGAAAACCUGCAGCUUAACUGCGGGCUUGCGGUUGAUACGGGCGGGCUAGAGUUCGGUAGGGGAGACUGGAAUUCCUGGUGUAGCGGUGAAAUGCGCAGAUAUCAGGAGGAACACCGGUGGCGAAGGCGGGUCUCUGGGCCGAUACUGACGCUGAGGAGCGAAAGCGUGGGGAGCGAACAGG
rnacentral:rRNA from 1 species